UACGUAGGGGGCAAGCGUUGUCCGGAAUUAUUGGGCGUAAAGCGCGUGUAGGCGGCUCGGUAAGUCUGCUGUGAAAGUCCAAGGCUCAACCUUGGAAAGCCGGUGGAUACUGUCGAGCUCGAGUCCGGAAGAGGCGAGUGGAAUUCCUGGUGUAGCGGUGAAAUGCGCAGAUAUCAGGAGGAACACCAGUGGCGAAGGCGACUUCCUGGCCUGUUCUUGACGCUGAGGCGCGAAAGCUAGGGUAGCAAACGGG
rnacentral:rRNA from 1 species